CGAAAGCGUAGCUAAUACCGCAUACGCCCUGAGGGGGAAAGCGGGGGAUCGUAAGACCUCGCACUAUUGGAGCGGCCGAUAUCGGAUUAGCUAGUUGGUGGGGUAAAGGCCCACCAAGGCGACGAUCCGUAGCUGGUUUGAGAGGACGACCAGCCACACUGGGACUGAGACACGGCCCAGACUCCUACGGGAGGCAGCAGUGGGGAAUUUUGGACAAUGGGGGCAACCCUGAUCCAGCCAUCCCGCGUGUGCGAUGA
rnacentral:rRNA from 1 species